rnacentral:rRNA from 1 species
AGCAGCGAACGGGUGAGUAACGCGUGGGGAAUCUGCCUUUGAGCGGGGGACAACAUUUGGAAACGAAUGCUAAUACCGCAUAACAACUUUAAACAUAAGUUUUAAGUUUGAAAGAUGCAAUUGCAUCACUCAAAGAUGAUCCCGCGUUGUAUUAGCUAGUUGGUGAGGUAAAGGCUCACCAAGGCGAUGAUACAUAGCCGACCUGAGAGGGUGAUCGGCCACAUUGGGACUGAGACACGGCCCAAACUCC